GUUGGGAAUGAAAGCAUCCCAGGGCAAGGACAAAGACAAACUGUACCCUGUGUCUGUCUUUCACAGUCUCCAAUCUCAAAGAUAUAAGUCAAUUGAAGUGAAAAGCUGACAAACUUUGUCAAGGGGCUGCACAUGAAUUUGACUCAGGACUCAAAUUCAGGGAGAGGAUCUGACAGGAUCUGGAGGAACUGCAUGUCAGAGUGCUGAACCACAUGAGACAGAGGCAGAAGGAUGUGGCUCCUUCAGCACCCUUAAGAUCUGCAACUAGAAGAGAUGAGGAACCUAAAGGUCGAAGAUUUUAAGAACUUGCCCAACUAAUAAGAGACAGGAAGAACUGCAGUACAAGUUGACCUGUUUCAAAAGUCUCUGCUUUUUCUCACAGGGUCCCAUCCUGCAUUUUAUCUGCUCCAAUCUGACAGUUUCUCAGAUUUUCCUCAUGUUUCACAAUCUUAAUAUUUUCGAAGAGCACUGGUCAGUUAUUUUGACAUAGAUUUAUUUGUUUCCUUUUGCAAGUGACAAAAUAAAAUGAUAGAACCUCAUGUUCUCAAACUGGUCAAAUAAAUAACCUGCAUGUCUUUGGGGAGCUCCCGUGACAAACAGCUAAACUCACAAGUCCACAAGCUAUCUGUAUCUGUAGGCCCUUCUCCUGGAGUGCACCAGAACUGGGAGGAUAUUAAAAAACUGAUGUUCUUUUCUAGUAUUUAUUAUGAGAUAUUCUGCAGAAUAUUCAGAUUGAUGGAUGGAUGGUCAAAAAACUGGUUAUUUUUUGUACUUGAAUUCAACAACUUACUACUUAUCUGAAUAAAAAUGGACAAUAUUCUCCUAAGAUUGAAAUAUAAUAACCUAAUCAAAGAAAAUUUUAUUUGAAAAGAAUUUUGAAAAUGAAUACGAAAAUAACCAUAUUUAUAAGCUCAUAAUAUGACCCAUGUUAUUAAGUUUAUACUCCCAAGCAAAUGAUAAAGUUAUCCAAACUAUUAUCCUUUGAAGAAUAUUGCAGUUUUAAAAACAACAAUAAUGAUGAAAUAUAGAGAGGUUUCAACAAUGCACUAUAAUCACACAACCAUUGAGAAGGGAAGUGAUUGCUUGUUAUAAAAAAAAAUAGUCAUAAAAUUUAAAAAUAGAAAUAUAUCAGGGAAUGAUGAUUUUUUUAGAGAAGAGAGUAUUAGAUUAGUAUUUUCAGGCAACUUGCUCCUUAAUUUAUUAGAGUUAUUCACCCCUUGUUCAAUUUUUUUUAAGUAUAAAACUACAGGGUUUUUUUUUAUAGCCUGAUAUGAAAUAAAUUGUUGCCCGAGAGACUAUUUACCCAGUAACAAACAGAUUUGCAUUUUGAGUAAUUAAUCUUAACCUGUCAGGUGACUGAAUUCAUUAAUCAUUUGUUUUCCUACUGGAGGAUUGGACUUUAAAUGAAGAGAAAAUCACCAGGAUGAAGUUACAUCUCCUUAUUAAUUUGAAUUUUAGGGGGUCCAAAGAGAGAGGCAAUGGAAGGAUAGCAUGAAAGGGUGAUGUUCUAAAGAAAAGUUACUUUUAUUCCACUCUCUCUAGUGUGAGAGAAUAAAGUCUUUUUUUUUUUUUCCCUUUAUGACCUAUUUUCCCUAAGUAGUUGACAGAUAGGGCCCUUUCCUUCCCAUUUCCAAAUACUGAUUUAAAGAGACCUGAUGGAAUCUCAAAAGGAGAAUCAAAGCAGGCUAACAGAGCACACAGGGGAGUAUGAGGAAAAACAGAGAGUUUUAGUCAAAAGGAGGUGACAGAAAGAUCAGAGGCUCAUGCUAUCCAGAAUAAUUUAAGAGAAGGUAGUGAGGAUAUGGUCAGAGGACAAGGUGGGCAGAACGAGUUCUGUUGAAUUUCUGCAUAUGUGUUUGCAGAAAUACAGCAGUUUACUAUCUAAUUCAAUAGUCAAAAGUGCCCCAGUUCUGGGUCAAUACACUUUGAAUGAGUUAUGAUAAAAUUUUUGCCAAAAUGUCUUUAUGCCAGUAUGUCUUUAUGCCAGUAGCAGAAUAGAAUACACCCAGAAGAUAAAAUAAACUUUAAAAAUUCCCAUUGCUGAUGUGAGAAAUCAUAAAGAUUGAGAAGUCGGAAAAAGUGAUCUCUCACCCUACACAAAACUCAACUCAAAAUGGAUCAAGGACCUUGGAAUCAGACCAGAGACCCUGCAUCUUAUAGAAGAAAAAGUAGGUAAAAAUC